GGGCCCGCACAAGCAGCGGAGCGUGUGGUUUAAUUCGAGGCUACACGAAGAACCUUACCUGGGUUUGACAUGGCGCUAGUAGCGAACCGAAAGGGGAGCGACCGCAAGGAGGCGUCACAGGUGCUGCAUGGCUGUCGUCAGCUCGUGCCGUGAGGUGUUAGGUUAAGUCCUGUAACGAGCGCAACCCCCGGGUCCAGUUACACGAUGUCUGGACCGACUGCCCGUGACAAGCGGGAGGAAGGUGGGGAUGACGUCAAGUCAGCAUGGCCUUUAUAUCCAGGGCGACACACACGCUACAAUGGCCGGUACAAUGGGUCUGCCAAGGGGCAACCCGGCGCUAAUCCAACAAAGCCGGUCACAGUUCGGAUUGUGGGCUGCAACCCGCCCGCAUGAAGUCGGAGUUGCUAGUAACCGCGCAUCAGCUAUGGCGCGGUGAAUACGUUCCCGGGCCUU
rnacentral:rRNA from 1 species